AACUGAUACUACCUGCGGGAACCUGCGGAGGGAUCAUUAUAGAGUUUUUAACUCCCAAACCCAUGUGAACUUACCUUUGUUGCCUCGGCGGAGCCUACCCGGUACCUACCCUGUAGCGCCCCGCCGGUGGACUUCUAAACUAUUGUUAUUUUAAUGAUAUCUGAGAGUCUUAUUUUAAUAAGUCAAAACUUUCAACAAUGGAUCUCU
rnacentral:misc_RNA from 1 species